rnacentral:rRNA from 1 species
AGUGAACGCUGGCGGUGUGCUUAACACAUGCAAGUCGAACGAGAACGGAUUAUAGCUUGCUAUAACUGUCAGCUAAGUGGCGCACGGGUGAGUAAUGUAUAGGUAAUAUGCCUCUUACUAAGGGAUAACAAAUGGAAACGUUUGCUAAUACCUUAUACUCCUUAUUAACAUAAGUUAAUAAGGGAAAGAUUUAUUGGUAAGAGAUUAGCCUGUAUUGUAUCAGUUAGUUGGUGGGGUAAUGGCUUACCAAGACUAUGACACAUAACUGGUUUGAGAGGAUGAUCAGUCACACUGGAACUGAGAUACGGUCCAGACUCCUACGGGAGGCAGCAGUGGGGAAUAUUGCACAAUGGACGAAAGUCUGAUGCAGCAACGCCGCGUGGAGGAUGACACAUUUCGGUGCGUAAACUCCUUUUAUAUGAGAAGAUAAUGACGGUAUUAUAUGAAUAAGCACCGGCUAACUCCGUGCCAGCCGCCGCGGUAA